rnacentral:lncRNA from 1 species
CCUCGAGCGCGCCGCCCGCGCCCAGCGCCCCACGCCCCGCGCCCCGGGCCGUGCAGCCAGCCCUUACCUUGCAGCGCCCGGCUGUCUCCCGAUCGCUAAAGCUACUUAUCCCGGGAAAGCUCGCGCGGGACCCGGGAACGAACCCACAGACAAAAAGUGAAACUUCGGCAGGGCUGGAGCGGCUGCUGGUUGGUGCCUUUCCCCCUCCUUCCUCCCCACCGUCCCCACCCCCUCCCCUUGGUCUCCCGUGCGGUGCCCUGAGCGCUGGAGGCUGACGUCAGGGGCCUGAAUUCCUGACUUUGCCUGCACGCAUUUGUCCAUGUAAGGUAUGGGAAGGCGUGUGCCCGCGAAGCCGCCGCGCAGAGCUCGCCUGGCGGGGGAGGGGAAACCCGCAGCCGGCAGUGGCUUUGCCAAAAGGUGGGCGCACUGAGGGCAUUGCAUUUCCUGGGAGGAAGAGGAGGAGACGCGGGAAUGCAGGGAGCUUGCAAAGGAGGAAGAGAAAGAGGGAGAUGUGGAGACUUUGCCCCUGCUAGAGGAAGAGGAAGGAGACGUAGGAGGAAGCGGCCGCGUCAGGGGGCUCCUGGAAAAUGGAAAAGCCUGCGUCUACUAUUAAGGCGUCAAAUUAGGGCACUGAGCUUGAGUGGAAGAGAUCCAGCCAUGAAAUCCCCUUCCAAGAUUUUCCUCGUGAGCCCCGCCCUGGAUUCCCAGCAAGACUCAAAACUUACAAGGUGUCAGAGCUGGCAAAGACCAACUUCCAACCCGUCCGCUUGGCACGUGAGGAAACUGAAGCUCUCGGAAGAGAAAUGACUUGUACAGGGUCGUCACUCAGCAGAUCGAGGAGCGGGCCCAGGCGCUCUGCCUCCCACUUGGGUUCCCGCCUCCAGGAAGGGCCCUGGCUCCCUUUUAGCCCUGAGCCUUGAAGCAGGUUAGAUGCCCGCGAGCUGUGCGGACCACCCAGUGAUUUCUACUGCUCUUGGCCCAGAGCCAGUUCCUGGAAGGUCCUGGUUGACAGCGAGCCCUGAAUAUCAAUGACAAUCAGUUGCUUCAGGGCAACUUCCUCUGUCCUGUGCUCAAAUAAAUGAAUCCCUGGAGUUUAACGUUUACUUCUGAGCCCCGCCCAGAAAGCUUGCUCUGUGCUUAUAGCUUCAAAAAAGUCUGCGAACGAGAUGAACUGGUUUGAAUACAGACAAGCCUGUCAUUGGAAGUUUUGAGUUGGAUUUUUCUUUCCCCUCUGACAUCUGUAAGGGUGAACGACGAUGAGAACCACCACUUAACUGUGUUAGGGGAUUAUGACGCGCAGCAGCCAUGGCCAGGAAAGCAUUCCAUACCCUGAGACUUCCUUUCCUUGCACUUCUCUCCUAUUAAUAUCUAAAGUAAUCCCUCACGUUAGCACAUAAUGAAAGCAGUCUCUCACCCGGCUAUUGCAUCUUCAGGUGAGUUAGAUAGGACAGAGCGUAGUCCCCCCUUUACACCUCAGACAAAAACUUAAGAAACGUUACUCGCCCAACACAAAACAACUGACUGACCAAGCACCUGUCUUCCCCUCCUCCCAUCCAGGUCUCCUGACUAAUCCCUUCAUCUUUCCAUACCUGGCCCUGACCUCUAGCAGGACCUAAUUCCAUUCAUAACUGUUGAGAGUACACCAUGAGCUACUGAUUCAUAAAAACUCCAAAAAGUGGUUCUUCUGAGGAUGGACUUUAGUGGGAUUCUUUUGACCAGGAAUUAAGGAAAUAAUGUAAAAACACAUGUUAUUGGAUUUAUUAAGCACCUUCCUUGUGCUUAAUAAGUGUUUGAAUUCAGACAUUUCAGGGGUAAGACUACUUAACCUCUGUGUUCCUCUCAACUAUCUAAUGUACACAUACAAAAAUAUGAACAUGGCUGGGCGCGGUGGCUUACACCUGUAAUUCCAGCACUUUGGGACGCCGAGGCGGGCAAAUCACCUGAGGUCAGGAGCUCGAGCCAGCCUGGCCAACAUGGCAAAACCCCAUCUCUACCAAAAAUACAAAAAACUAGCUGGGCGUGGCGGCGAGCGCCUGUAAUCCCAGGUAUUCCGGAAGCUGAGGCAGGAGAAUUGCCUGAACCCGGGAGGCAAAGGUUUUAGUGAGCCGAGAUUGCGCCACUGCACUCCAGCCUGGGGGACAGAGCAAGACUGUUGUCAAAAAAAAAAAAUAUAUAUAUAUACAAACACAUAUAUAUACACAUAUAUAUACAUAUAUACACAUAUAUAUACAUAUAUAUACACAUAUAUAUACAUAUAUAUAUACACACACACAUAUAUAUAUACACACAUACAUAUAUAUAUAUGAAGGCAGUAACAGAGAGAUAAGGUCGAGAAUAACCACCCAUUCCACAGACUAAUAAAGAAUUUAUCUCUUUGCAACUAACAUAGUUUGAAAUGGGAGAUACGGGCUCUUGGAGAGAGUUUUUUCUGGGGUUCUGAAAAGGUCAGAUCCUAUCAAAACACAAUCCACUCACUCAAACAUUUCAGCGUACUCACAUUCUGAGUACUACUGUUUAGUAUGAAAAGAAUUCCAGUGUUACAUGAAGUAAAAAUGGAUUAUCUCAAUCCUCAUGGAAUAUAACGGGACUUGACCAGCAUUUCCUUUUUUUUUUUCCUUCAGUAACUCACUUAUAAGGAAUAAUAGGGUCCUAAUGAGGAUUAAGAUUUAAUAAGGUGUAAUUAGAGUUGUUCAUUUCUUCCAUCAUAUACAUUAUAAGAGUACUGUGCCGGAUCCAGAAAUGCUACUAAUUAUGUUGAAACUGUUGUAUGGGUGUGUUGGGGAAGUCACUGUGUUUCUCCUCCUGAAAUGUUUAUGAAUUGCUCAGGUGAGCAUGGUGAGCAUGGUGUUAGCAUGAACAUCAUAUAAAGUUAACUACAAAAGA